CUGAUUUGUCCCUCUCCGCUCUCCGUCUGAAAACCUUGGCGAAAAGGGUCGCAGACAUGGCGGCCAUCAGGAUGGGAAAACUGACAACCAUGCCUGCAGGUCUGAUAUAUGCAUCUGUAAGUGUACAUGCAGUCAAAGAAGAGGAAUACAAAAAGCAGCUAGUGAAACCAGAGCAGCUCCCCAUAUAUACUGCACCACCGCUUCAGUCUAAAUAUGUUGAAGAGCAGCCUGGUCAUUUACAAAUGGGCUUUGCUUCCAUCCGGACUGCAACUGGUUGUUAUCUUGGCUGGUGCAAGGGUGUUUAUGUCUUUGUGAAAAAUGGGAUAAUGGAUACAGUACAAUUUGGAAAAGAUGCUUAUGUCUAUCUGAAGAAUCCUCCUCGAGACUUUCUUCCGAAAAUGGGAGUUAUUACAGUUUCAGGAUUGGCGGGCUUGGUUUCAGCGAGAAAAGGUUCCAAGUUUAAGAAAAUCACUUAUCCUCUGGGACUGGCCACUUUAGGAGCAACUGUUUGCUACCCAGUUCAGUCCAUAAUAAUUGCUAAGGUAACAGGGAAAAAGAUAUAUGCUACAAGCCAGCAAAUUUUUGGAGCAGUUAAAUCACUGUGGACAAAAAGCAGCAAAGAAGAGUCACUCCCUAAACAUAAAGAAAAAACUAAGCUAGGAUCCUCUGUAGAAAUAGAAGUACCUGCAAAAACAACUGACGUCUUGAAACACUCAGUGCCCUUGCCAACAGAACUCAGCUCUGAAGCGAAGACCAAAUCAGAAUCCACUUCAGGUGCAACACAGUUUAUGCCUGACCCCAAGCUCAUGGAUCACGGGCAGUCCCACCCAGAAGAUAUAGAUAUGUACAGCACUAGAAGCUGAAGUAGACUGCAUACAGAGACUACAUAGAAAACUACAAGAUGUGUGACGUUGCAAAUAAUGAUGAAAAAAAUCACCUAAUGGGAGUUCUCCUCUGUUAAACCUGAAGAGAUGCCAGCCCUCCUCAGAGGAAAGGUCUAAAGCCCCUCGACUAGUGUAGUAGUCGACAGAAGCCUGGUUCCAAAUGACGACAAGAAAGUGCAUGCGGUUACAUUGAGUUCUGAUGGCUAUCUGUUUAAAAACAAACCAGCAAAUAUUACUUUCAUUUGAAAGUAUAAUCUUCAUUAACAUAUAUAUUUUAUUGAAGGUCUACUCUAUGCAAGACACUAUGUGUGAAUAAUACUUCCAAAUAUAGUAGUUAUCUUUUGAACUUUUCUAUAGCUGUAAAAAGAAAAAAAAACUCACUGUUCUGAGCUUCAAAGCCCUCUUUAAAAGCUCAAAACUGAUUUGCAAAGCCUUUAUCAUAUAGAAAAGAUGUACCUAUAAGACCACAUGUUCUCAUGUUUCCAAAAUACAAGAAGAUCUUGCUUUUAUAGCUUUGUAAUAUUAUACUGUGGGCCUGUUUUUUUGAAUAAAAAUGCUUUCUAGUCUCCCUCCUCCUUACUUUCACUUGAUAGCAAAAAGGGUGUAUAGUGUGGUUGUGGAUUAUAUAUAAAUCAAUUUUAAUUGACUGUAAAUCAUAUGCUCUAUAUGAUCAUCUGGUUUGAAAAUCCAGUUUAAUUUGGGUAGAAAUUUGAAGGAUAUGUUGGGGUUAUGUUCAAAUGGUGAGAUUAAUGAUUUAAUUUAUGCCUUGUGAAUAUUUAUUGAAGAAAAAGUUAGUGAAUAGAAUGUCAAUACUAACUGUAAUACAUACCUGACUUAGCCUCUUCAGCAUUUCAGCUCCAAUACCUAGACCUUUUAAAUAGACAACGCAAAAUGAAAACUGCAAAUUUCACUUAACUAGUCAUUUGCUUUAGUUUAAAAUAAGUAAUAUCUAAAACUCUGUA